rnacentral:rRNA from 1 species
CGCCCAAUGCGGAUGCUAUACAUGCAAGUCGAACGAGCUUCCGUUGAAUGACGUGCUUGCACUGAUUUCAACAAUGAAGCGAGUGGCGAACUGGUGAGUAACACGUGGGAAAUCUGCCCAGAAGCAGGGGAUAACACUUGGAAACAGGUGCUAAUACCGUAUAACAACAAAAUCCGCAUGGAUUUUGUUUGAAAGGUGGCUUCGGCUAUCACUUCUGGAUGAUCCCGCGGCGUAUUAGUUAGUUGGUGAGGUAAAGGCCCACCAAGACGAUGAUACGUAGCCGACCUGAGAGGGUAAUCGGCCACAUUGGGACUGAGACACGGCCCAAACUCCUACGGGAGGCAGCAGUAGGGAAUCUUCCACAAUGGACGAAAGUCUGAUGGAGCAAUGCCGCGUGAGUGAAGAAGGGUUUCGGCUCGUAAAACUCUGUUGUUAAAGAAGAACACCUUUGAGAGUAACUGUUCAAGGGUUGACGGUAUUUAACCAGAAAGCCACGGCUAACUACGUGCCAGCAGCCGCGGUAAUACGUAGGUGGCAAGCGUUGUCCGGAUUUAUUGGGCGUAAAGCGAGCGCAGGCGGUUUUUUAAGUCUGAUGUGAAAGCCUUCGGCUUAACCGGAGAAGUGCAUCGGAAACUGGGAGACUUGAGUGCAGAAGAGGACAGUGGAACUCCAUGUGUAGCGGUGGAAUGCGUAGAUAUAUGGAAGAACACCAGUGGCGAAGGCGGCUGUCUAGUCUGUAACUGACGCUGAGGCUCGAAAGCAUGGGUAGCGAACAGGAUUAGAUACCCUGGUAGUCCAUGCCGUAAACGAUGAGUGCUAAGUGUUGGAGGGUUUCCGCCCUUCAGUGCUGCAGCUAACGCAUUAAGCACUCCGCCUGGGGAGUACGACCGCAAGGUUGAAACUCAAAGGAAUUGACGGGGGCCCGCACAAGCGGUGGAGCAUGUGGUUUAAUUCGAAGCUACGCGAAGAACCUUACCAGGUCUUGACAUCUUUCUGCCAAUUCUUAGAGAUAAGACGUUCCCUUCGGGGACAGAAUGACAGGUGGUGCAUGGUUGUCGUCAGCUCGUGUCUGAGAAUGUUGGGUUAAGUUCCCGCACGAGCGCACCUUAUUUAUCAGUUGCAGCAUUCAGUGGGCACUCUGGUGAGAACUGCCGGUGACAACCGAGAGGUGGGAUGACGUCAAUCAUCAUGCCCUUAUGGACUGGGCUACACACGUGUCUCAAUGACGUACAGGAUUCGGAAGUCUGAGCUUAGCCUAUUCUCUUCAGGCGCUCUCCAGAUCGCGAAUAUAGC